GUUGGAUUAGGAAAAAUGUUAAAAUAAAUAUUUCUUCUUUCAAAGACAAGGAACGUACCUUGGUUUAUUACAAAAUGUAAAGGGUAAGGAUAACCUUACACUAGAAUUAUGUUAUGUAUCAUUAGUGGUAGUGAUGUGAACUGACAAUUCGUUACAAAUUGAAAAUGUAAAAUCUAAAGAUUCAUUGAAGUUUCACAUCCCAUUGAUUUUCCUAAUGGAAAAUCACCAGAUCUGGAAUUCCUUUUCUUUUUUGAUUGGUAAAAUUUGGAAUUGUUCUU
rnacentral:misc_RNA from 1 species